AGAGCGAACGCUGGCGGCAGGCUUAACACAUGCAAGUCGAGCGGGCGUAGCAAUACGUCAGCGGCAGACGGGUGAGUAACGCGUGGGAACGUACCUUUUGGUUCGGAACAACACAGGGAAACUUGUGCUAAUACCGGAUAAGCCCUUACGGGGAAAGAUUUAUCGCCGAAAGAUCGGCCCGCGUCUGAUUAGCUAGUUGGUGUGGUAACGGCGCACCAAGGCGACGAUCAGUAGCUGGUCUGAGAGGAUGAUCAGCCACAUUGGGACUGAGACACGGCCCAAACUCCUACGGGAGGCAGCAGUGGGGAAUAUUGGACAAUGGGCGCAAGCCUGAUCCAGCCAUGCCGCGUGAGUGAUGAAGGCCCUAGGGUUGUAAAGCUCUUUUGUGCGGGAAGAUAAUGACGGUACCGCAAGAAUAAGCCCCGGCUAACUUCGCGUCAGCAGCCGC
rnacentral:rRNA from 1 species